AGCAAAAUCAUUUCCUGUAUAACCAUUAUGAUCACAGAAAAGAAGAUGGAAUGAGCAUUUGGAGUCAUAGAAGGUCAUCUAGGGGUGGACUCUGUAAGCAGCACAUCACCAAACCUGGGAAAAUACCUGUGCUGCAUAAAUUUAACCUUGCUGUCCAAGUGGAAUUAAAGAGAUUCUGAGACUGCCCUCAGUGACCUGCAAUUGACCGCUUGAACUUCUAAGUUAGGGUCAGUUGGGGCCCAGAAUAAGAGGUCAGAAACUGGUCAGCUUU
rnacentral:lncRNA from 12 species